UACGUAGGAAGCGAGCGUUGUCCGGAUUCAUUGGGCGUAAAGAGCUCGUAGGCGGCUUGGUAAGUCGGAUGUGAAACCUCCAGGCUCAACCUGGAGUCGCCAUCCGAUACUGCCAUGGCUAGAGUCCGGUAGGGGCCCACGGAAUUCCUGGUGUAGCGGUGAAAUGCGCAGAUAUCAGGAGGAACACCGAUGGCGAAGGCAGUGGGCUGGGCCGGCACUGACGCUGAGGAGCGAAAGCGUGGGGAGCGAACAGG
rnacentral:rRNA from 1 species